UCUGAUAGUCUCACAAUGAAAGUAACAAAGUAUUUUGAGAAGUCCAGUGUAGCUAUACAAAAUGAAAUGGAACCCUUGCAUAUAAAGUACCAGCAUGUUUUAGACUUGUUACUUGACUAGGUUAGUGAUAGAUUUAAUCAAUUUAAAAGCCUAGAACAGAUCAUGAAAAUAAUUGAGUAACUUGAUGUAGUAGUCUACAGUAGUUUAGAAUAAAUGGUUUCCAAUGGAUGCAAAUUGAUAAUUUGGAGAUGCAAUUUGCAGAAUAUCAAGACAGCAUCUGGGCUCAGGUGUUUGCCCUCUACGUACUUUUGUGAGACCUUAUUCUCAGUCUUAAUCAAAACCAACAAAAGAAACACUUUGACAGAUAAAGUUAGUAGCACUUGCUUGGACUUGAAUUGUACAAAAUACCAACCUUCAAUUGAAGAUUUAGCCAAUGAAAUUCAGCAACAAAAAAGUCACUAAUAGGCAGGUUAAUUAAAGAAUUCCCCUCCCCGCCACUUAUCUUAGUUCACAGCAUCCCACACAAGUUAAAUAAUAUUAAGACUAACAAAAGAAACCAACUGACAGACAAACAAAUUCACUAAGCAGAACCUCAGACAAAACCAUGUGAAAGAUAGAAAAGCACUUCAGAGCUACAAAAGAAGACACCUGACUUUUUCUUGGAUUUGGAGGAAGUCUACAGAGGAAGGUAACAAACAUGGAAAAGUUACAGCUAAGUAAGGAAUCCUAGAAUAAAAAGAUGAAGAUGUGGCCAAGUAGGCACCACACAAGCAAAGCCAGGUCUCUCAGCUUAACCCCAGAAAGAAACAAAGUUCAAAAUCUCUCCUUUUCUCCUGGCCAGCUCAAUUCUCAUAUAGACCACCAACUCAAAAGCCAAGUUUCUUUUUCUUAUCAGCUUCAACUACCCAGAGUCAGAGAAACAGAGACCAAGUCCCAAAAGCCAAGUUUCUCUUCUCAAUGUCAACUUCAACUGCUCAGAGCCAGAAAACCUCCCAAAACCAAGUUAGCCUCACAAAGGUCUUUCAGCCAGCUUCAAACCUCCAGGGAGAGAGAGUGACUUCCAGUCAGAGACAAAGUCACCUCUCCCUGUCAGCUCAAACUGCCAGCAACUGGGAACAUUCCGUUGGAACUCUGGUUCUUGCAUCUUGGUCCACAAGUCCUGCAAAACCUCUCUCUCUUCAUGUCUCUACCACAGUGUAUGAUUUGGGGUUUUAAUUUUAUAAGAUUAUUCUCUUAUAAAAAUGAAUAAUAUGAAAAUAUGUUUUCAGUGAUAAUACUUUUAUAACCCAGUGGAAUUGCUUGUCAACUCCAGGAGUGGUGAGAGGGAAUGGAAACAAUAUGAAUCAUGUAACUUUGGAAAACUUAAAUGUAAAUGUUAUUGAAAUAAAAUAAAGAUAAAAAAU
rnacentral:lncRNA from 1 species